rnacentral:rRNA from 1 species
GAAACUGCGAAUGGCUCAUUAAAUCAGUUAUCGUUUAUUUGAUAGUACCUUACUACAUGGAUAACCGUGGUAAUUCUAGAGCUAAUACAUGCUAAAAAUCCCGACUUCGGAAGGGAUGUAUUUAUUAGAUUAAAAACCAAUGCCCUUCGGGGCUCUCUGGUGAUUCAUAAUAACUUCUCGAAUCGCACGGCCUUGCGCCGGCGAUGGUUCAUUCAAAUUUCUGCCCUAUCAACUUUCGACGGCUGGGUCUUGGCCAGCCGUGGUGACAACGGGUAACGGAGGGUUAGGGCUCGGCCCCGGAGAAGGAGCCUGAGAAACGGCUACUACAUCCAAGGAAGGCAGCAGGCGCGCAAAUUACCCAAUCCCGACACGGGGAGGUAGUGACAAUAAAUACUGAUACAGGGCUCUUUCGGGUCUUGUAAUUGGAAUGAGUACAAUUUAAAUCCCUUAACGAGGAACAAUUGGAGGGCAAGUCUGGUGCCAGCAGCCGCGGUAAUUCCAGCUCCAAUAGCGUAUAUUAAAGUUGUUGAGGUUAAAAAGCUCGUAGUUGAACCUUGGGCCUAGCCGGCCGGUCCGCCUCAC